ensembl:lncRNA
GAGAGUGUACAGGUCGCAGUGGUGGGUAGUAUAUGGUGCUUUGGUAAAAAAAAAAAACGGAUGGCACUGUGAUAGACUGCAUCCAAUUUAUUGAGUAGGGUAUUGGAGGCUAUUUUGUAAAUGACAUCGUCGAGGAUCGGUAGGAUGGUCAGUUUUACAAGGGUAUGUUUGGCAGCAUGAGUGAAGGAUGCUUUGUUGCGAAAUAGGAAGCAGAAUCUUGAUUUAAUUAUGGAUUGGAGAUGCUUAAUGUGAGUCUGGAAGGAGAGUUUACAGUCUAACCAGACACCUAGGUGUAGUUGUCCAUAUAUUCUGAGUCUGAACUGUCCAGAGUAGUGAUGCUGGACGGGCGAGCAGGUGUGGGCAAUGAUCGGUUGAAGAGCAUGCAUUUAGUUUCACUUGUAUUUAAGAGCAAUUGGAGGCCACGGAAGGAGAGUUGUAUGGCAUUGAAGCUCGCCUGGAGGGUUGUUAACACAGUGUCCAAAGAAGAGCCAGAAGUAUACAGGAUGGUGUCGUCUGCAUAGAAGUGGAUCAGAGAAUCACGAGUAGCAAGAGCAUCCAUAUGUGUUAUUUCAUAGUCGAUGUCUUCACUAUUAUUCUACAAUGUAGAAAAUAAUAAAAAAUUAAGAAAAUCCUGGAAUGAGUAGAUGUGUUCUAACGUUUGACUGGUACUGUGUAUAUCUUGCUAUCUCUCUCUCUCUAGCUCUCUACAGUAUAUCUAUCUCUCUCUCUCUCUCCCCAGCUCUCUCUCUCUAUCAAUUUCAAUUCAAUUCAAUUCAAGGGCUUUAUUGGCAUGGGAAACAUGUGUUAACAUUGCCAAAGCAAGUGAGGUAGACAACAUACAAAGUGAAUAUAUAAAGUGAAAAACAACAAAAAUUAACAGUAAACAUUACACAUACAGAAGUUUCAAAACAGUAAAGACAUUACAAAUGUCAUAUUAUAUAUAUAUACAGUGUUCUAACAAUGUACAAAUGGCUAAAGGACACAAGUUAAAAUAAAUAAGCAUAAAUAUGGGUUGUAUUUACAAUGGUGUUUGUUCUUCACUGGUUGCCCUUUUCUCG